CGGGCUCCAGAGCGCUACGGGUUCGCUCGACCCGCUUGAAACCCGUAGGUCCGGGGUUCAAAUCCCCGCGGCCCCACCA
rnacentral:tRNA from 1 species